UAUUAAAAAUUUCAUCAAUUUGUACUGUUAAAAAAGGGUGUGGCUGACGUAAUAACCAGACAAAUAUACGUGGCGUGCCACGUAUAUAUUGACAUAUAGAUACCAAUUUUUAAUAAUAGAAAUGGAUGAAAUAUUUAACA
rfam:Gossypium hirsutum cultivar TM-1 chromosome 12, whole genome shotgun sequence